AUACAUUGUUCAAUCUCUGUGUCCUAGUUGACUGAACAGGUGGGGUUUCCCUGUCCGGAGUGCUGCUGGGCUCUGACUGGGGGUUUCUUGCUGUGCUCGGUGGUGAAUGAGACUCCCCCGACCGGCCAGUUCAGAAGCUUCUGUUCAGAGGUGCAGGAGUGGCUCCAAGAGGUCUUGUUGUGUGUCUAUGUGUUGGAUAGUUCAUGGCGGAUUGUCUUUGUAUUUGUCCUGUUGACACUUCUUUUACUGGAUGCCUGAACCAAAUGUUUCGAAAGAAAUGACCCAUGUUGUGUUAGCACAAGAGACCUUGCCCCACCCUCCCCGGUCAGGGUGAAUGAUUAAUUCAGAGCCGAAGCCCGCUGUAUGUUUGCGUAAGAGAGAGAGAGAGAGAGAGAAGAGAAAUGGAGAGAGGCAGAGAAAUAAAGAGAAGGAGGGAAACAAUACCUGCUAGCGUUACCAGGUACAACCCUAGUGUUGGGUUUCAGCUCCAGGUGUGUUUAUGUGUGCAUCAGUGAGCCUCACAGCCUCAUGCUAUCAGGUGUGUGUGAGCUUCACACUGAGCCUCAUGCUUUCAGGUGUGUUAGCCUCACACAGAGCCUCAUGCUAUCAGGUGUGUGUACGCCUCACACAGAGCCUCAUGCUAUCAGGUGGCUGUGGAGAAGCAGGCUGGGCUUCCUUUAGGCGGUUGUGUUUUCCUGAUGAUCUCUCUAUUUAUCCACUCCUUCUGGAAUACAGAAACACAGAACCUUUUUUUUUUGUGAUCUGAUCCUGUCUCAAAAGGGGAGUGGAGUGUCAUAUUCAGCAGACAUGUGAUGAAUAUCAUUGAAG